rnacentral:tRNA from 1 species
GGCUGUAGCUCAAUAGCAGAGCACUUGCCUAGCAUGCAUGAGAGCUCUGGGUUUGACCCCCAGUAAUGCCA